rnacentral:rRNA from 1 species
AUUGAACGCUGGCGGCAGGCCUAACACAUGCAAGUCGAACGAGUGGCGGACGGGUGAGUAAUGUCUGGGCAACUGCCUGAUGGAGGGGGAUAACUACUGGAAACGGUAGCUAAUACCGCAUACCAUCGGAUGUGCCCAUAUGGGAUUAGCUAGUAGUGGGGGUAACGGCUCACCUGGUCGCCGAUCCCUAGCUGGUCUGAGAGGAUGCCCAUCCACACUGGAACUGAACCACGGCCCAGACACCUACGGGAGGCAGCAGUGGGGAAUAUUGCACAAUGGGCGCAAGCCUGAUGCAGCCGUGCCGCGUGUAUGAAGAAGGCCUGCGGGUUGUAAAGUACUUUCAGCGGAAAGGCGUUAACCGCAGAAGAAGCACCGGCUAACUCCGUGCCAGCAGCCGCGGUAAUAC